GUGUGUGUGUGUGUGUGUGUGUGUGUGUGUGUGUGUGUGUGUGGGGUGUGUUGGUGGGUGUGUGUGUGUGUGUGUGUGUGUGUGUGUGUGUGUGUGUGUGUGUGUGUGUGUGUGUGUGUGUGUGUGUGUGUGUGUGUGUGUGUGUGUGUGUGUGUGUGUGUGUGUGUGUGUGUGUGUGUGUGUGUGUGUGUGUGUAUUUGCUAUACGUUUAUGAAAUCUAUACUAUUAUGUAAUGAUCUAAAUAAUUAAGUCCCUAUGUAUGUAUGUAUGUAUAUUUGUAUUUUCACCAUAGUAAUGCAUAGUUUUUCUCUUUACAGUGUUCCCUCGUAUGCAACUUGCAAUAAGGUGGCCACAACGACUGCAAUAACCCUGUACCACGCCGUUCCCUGCCCUCCCCUCACAUCCGUGGCUGCCCACACCAUACACUACGUUGCCGUUAGUACGUGUUUGUUGUAAGGUUAACGUCAGUUCAAUUACUCGCCUCGUCAACGUUACGUAUUGAUAAAUGAAUGUUGUCGCAAACUUUUAUCGUUGGUGAGUUUCUUACGCAUUGUUUUGUUGUGAAAUACAUAUAAACUGUAGUGACUUUUAAUGUUAUGAUUGACACUACAAUCUGAAACGGACUUUUAACUGUGUACAUCGAAAAAUCUGUGUCGUGGGCUUUUCUUGUCAAGUUCGAAGUUUCAUAUUACUACCUUGUUCAGAAGUUGUCAGGGAUGAGAAGCUCCUGCUGAUAAGCCUGUAGUUUUUUUCUUGUUAAGUCUUCAAAUGAAGAUCAUUAGAUAGAGAUAUUCUUGGAACAAACUAUUACCUUGCUAAGUAAACAAUCUCGUGCAAUCUCGUGCAGCGCUUACAAAUAAUACUAUUAAGAAAUAGUUGUAUAAGCGUAAUCCACUGCAACAAAAUCCAGGAAGGGUACCAGCUCACAGCCAAGCCGCAUCUACGGUAUCCUGAAAAGAACAUAAAAACACCGCCAUCCUUUCCCGCGCGUGUGUGCUUAUUCUCCUCGAGGGCGACUAAGCAGCGUCUCUCGGAAACAAGACUCCCCUUAGCAAACAAAAGUCUAAGUCAACUAACUGUCAUAAACACAAUUUCCCGUCUCGCUCAUCUCCCUCCUCGUGCUCUCGUUCUUGCUCCGCCGGUUUUCGUUACCGUCUCCUUGAUCUGUCCUCAAGGCACCCGACGACAAGAUGGAAGAUUCAAGCCGAGCCAGCACUCCCUCCUCCUCCAACGCCAACACCACAGCCUCCAACACACGGCCCACCACGCCCCGGGAGGAGAGACACCAGAUAAGUCGUGAGCGGGAGUCACAACCCGGGUAACAAUAUCCAGGUCAGCGGUGCAAUGGACCCGAGUAUUGCAAAACAUUUGCGCCAUUAUGACUCCAUUUGUAUCAUAUUUCCGGAUGUAUCAAGCCAGACGAAGCUGCGGCCCAGAAGGACCCAGAGCCCUCAGGGCAUGUAUAUCACCGAUGUGUGUGUGUGUGUGUGUGUGUGUGUGUGUGUGUGUGUGUGUGUGUGUGUGUGUGAGGUGUGAGAAUGGAGGAUUGGUGUAUUUCAUAAUAUGUUUCUGUUUCAGUGAAUGACAUUUACUAGUAGCAUUAUCAUGAAGUGCGACUUUUGCAUCUCCUCUUUAUUUCCAGCAGCAGAUGAUGUCCCAUUACUGGGCUUGGAAUUUUUUACAUGUCUGUAAGGGAUAAUGGCACACUUCACUUGUGGAGAAAGAAUACAAAUAUUGUAUCAAUCUUAGAAGUAAAGUCAACGGAGAUCUCUGCCAUACUUUUCUCCCAAUUUUUUCUUUAAGCAACUGAGUUUAGUCUCACAUUUAUUUCUCAUGCUUUCAUUUUCUUCUUUAUUAAUUGUUUAUCUGAAGUUAAUGAGUUCAUACUUUCUAUCUCUUCUCACUAUCUGUCUGUCUUUCUGUCUUUCUGCCCCCGUCUGUCUGUCUGUCUGUCUGUCUGUCUGUCUGUCUGUCUCUGUCUGUCUGUCUGUCUGUCUGUCUGUCUGUCUGUUUGUCUGUCUGUCUGUCUGUCUGUCUGUCUGUCUGUCUGUCUGUCUCUCUCUCUCUCUCUCUCUCUCUCUCUCUCUCUCUCUCUCUCUCUCUCUCUCUCUCUCUCUCUCUCUCUCUCUCUCUCUCUCUCUCUCUCUCUCUCUCUCUCUCUCUCUCUCUCUCUCUCUCUCUCUCUCUCUCUCUCUCUCUCUCUCUCUCUCUCUCUCUCUCUCAUGCUGACCUUCGUCUUCUGUUAACAUUGCAAUAGUUAAACAAUAUCAUUAUUUUGUUACUUUAAUGAUAAUACAUGCAGUGGCACACCUUCGCUUUUCCUUUCUUUUCCUGCUCAUUAAACACCUGCGGCAGCGGAGGAUUGGGUGACCCUGAGAUCUUCCAUUACUUCCAUUACGUGGGGGUGCAUAUUUUGUAGUUUUUGUGGUUUUAUUGUUGAUGUUAUUUUAUUGUUCUUAUUUAUUUUCAUUGUCUUGAAGCAUAGAUGGUUUCUCCGUGUGUGUCAAAGUAGAUGGAGUUUUGCCACACGCCUCAGAGAAAAUCAUUUGUAUGUGAGCUGCGUAAACUUCGUAAAAAUAAUAUUCUAGUAAAUGCUUUUUCGCAGCUUUGUAACGGUUUUUCUCAAGUUGUCGUUACAGAUGAUGACUUCCUGACUUACCGGGAGGAUCAUUCACGUUCCUGUUGCGUCUCUUAUCUUCUGGUGAUGCUUCCCAUGGCUGACUUGAAUAGCGGAGAUGCUUGCUUUCCUUUGUCCUGGGAAGUCCUUGGCGUGCAUAACUUUUCUGUUUCAUGUGUCAUAUAAACUCAUUCAAGAGGUGAACCGUCGCAUCGUAUCAAGGUCCAGGUUUUCUUUAUCUUUAAUGUUGCUGAGCUGUUUUUUUUUUUUUUUUUUGUCUGUGGAGGGUGCAUUUAGGUACCUGCGUCUAGUUUCUUAGGUAUGUAUGAAGAAAGAAAUAUAAUAAUUACCAGCAGAAAUGUAUGGAUAACAGUAAAUGUUCUGAUUGUCGGUCUGCUUAAAGAGCUGACGCAGUACAUGGACCAGUCAGAGAUAAAAAUGUUUAUUUUUCGACACUACCAAUAUCAUUCAUUGUUUUACUUAAUACAAGUCUUCGAUAUUGGUUUGGUGAGCCCUGUCGGAAUACUGCACUUAAUAUCGUGGAAUGACACUUCUCUCCGAGAGCAUGAUGUCGAAAUUAAACAGUGAGCAUUGAUUACUGAACCAGAGCAUACAAUACGCGUAGAGUUUUGCAGUCACUUACUGAAAAUUAAAUUCAUACGUAACUAGAGAAGUGUAUGCGAAUGGCGCUUCGAACUGUAGACGGCUUUCAUCCCUGUGUAUCCUGUAUAUAAGCCUGUUCAUGUACUUUUAAUAUUUUAAAGAGAUUUGAUUGACUCUUUACUUUUGUUAGUUUUAUUAGGAUAAUGUUUCAUCCCAAUAAUGAUGGGUGUCAUGUUUCUUAAUGGAGUGUGUGCUGGUGCAGAAAGUGCAUUUAGUGAAGUGGUACUGAUCCUCUUUUCUGAUUGGGUAUUCAUGGUCUUAUAUUUUUUUUUCUAAUUAAAUAAUGAAAUGUCGUUUUGGUUAGCAAUGUCUAAUCAGUAUUCAGUUAUUUCUUUGAAGUUUGUUAUUUACAUGACUAAAUGAGAAAAAAAAAAUAAAACGCAGCGGUUUGGCCUCUACAAUCACGUAACUCAAGAAUAAAGGAAAGACAGGCGUGUUGAAAGACACCCCACGAAAAAAAAAUAAAUAAAAAAAAAAAAAAAAAACCUCUUACAGUGUACUAAAUUUUGUGAUUUUGUGGUGUGUAGCUGAGGAACCAAUGCAUAGAGCAGGUGUAGUGUUUAAAUGAUAAGAACAACUAUCGAAUCUUCCUUGUUUACCGAAGGAUGCUGUUUGUAUAUAAUUUCAUCACAUAUUUAUUACCUUAUCUUUUACCAUUUCUUUACUUUUCUCUUCUCGUACCGUGCUAUAUAACAUUGUUGGUACGAAUACUAAAAUCACCUAUUGAUCCCUAUAUAACAGUGAAUACAAUAUUGAUAAAGUUCUUACAUUCAGCUUGUGGCCAAAGCAUUCACGACCUACAGAACUAACCAGUACGUAGGUGUGGGCGCCUGUCUGCGCGGCCACACUCAUCCCCCAUGGCUGGCUCUGUCCUCUCACACCACCCUGGCUGCUCGGCGUCACUGAACAGGGUGUCGCUCUCAAAAUCAUGAACCGUCAAGCUUGUCGCACUGCAGCACCAAAGGCGGCCAGCGAGUCGGCUUGAGACACACACACACACUCACAUUCUCUCUCUCUCUCUCUCUCUCUCUCUCUCUCUCUCUCUCUCUCUCUCUCUCUACAUUAUCUACUGCAUCAUCCAGGCGUUGGAUCUUAACAUUAUAAUUAAUUACCGUAAUGUUAGUCUUCUGUCAUCAGCAGUUUUCUCCGUACCACGUCUCUUUGGUCACGCGUGUGUUCCUUUACUCUGGAGGAAAUGUUCAGGUGCAGCAGGCAGGUCCUCAGAUACGUUCUUGGAUUGGUGAAUAUCUCACUGGAUAAAGACGACCUCUGUUUUAAAUUUGAAAACCAGGAACAGUAUUUGGUAUUGUAAAUUGACCUCUCAACUGGCAGUUCAUCAUUACUUUUAUCCCAUUGUCAUCUAGUGUGUAUUUUCCAAAGUCAAUCAAAUAAACGUUGAGAACUU